UACAGAGGUCUCAAGCGUUGUUCGGAUUCAUUGGGCGUAAAGGGUGUGUAGGUGGCGCCGUAAGUCGGGUGUGAAAUUUCGGAGCUUAACUCCGAAACUGCAUUCGAUACUGCGGUGCUUGAGGACUGGAGAGGAGACUGGAAUUUACGGCGUAGCGGUGAAAUGCGUAGAUAUCGUAAGGAAGACCAGUGGCGAAGGCGGGUCUCUGGACAGUUCCUGACGCUGAAGCACGAAGGCCAGGGGAGCAAACGGG
rnacentral:rRNA from 1 species